rnacentral:pre_miRNA from 11 species
AGGAAGACACAAGAGCAGGAAUGGUUUUGGAAUGACACGAUCACUCCCGCUGAGCGAGCAGAGCCACGGCCACGGGGAUGUCGUGUCUGUCCAAAACUAUUUCAAAUAACCCAGCCUGGCUC